rnacentral:rRNA from 1 species
CGGACGGGUGAGUAACGACGUGGAAAACCUAGCCGUAUACUGGGGGAUAACACUUAGAAAUAGGUGCUAAUACCGCAUAAGCGCACAGCUUCGCAUGAAGCGGUGUGAAAAACUCUGGUGGUAUACGAUGGUUCCGCGUCUGAUUAGCUAGUUGGUGGGGUAAUGGCCUACCAAGGCAACGAUCAGUAGCCGGCCUGAGAGGGUGAACGGCCACAUUGGGACUGAGACACGGCCCAAACUCCUACGGGAGGCAGCAG